rnacentral:rRNA from 1 species
GACGAACGCUGGCGGCGUGCCUAAUACAUGCAAGUAGAACGCUGACUACUUUAGCUUGCUAGAGUAGAAGGAGUUGCGAACGGGUGAGUAACGCGUAGGUAACCUGCCUACUAGCGGGGGAUAACUAUUGGAAACGAUAGCUAAUACCGCAUAACAGUGUUUAACACAUGUUAGAUGCUUGAAAGAUGCAAUUGCAUCACUAGUAGAUGGACCUGCGUUGUAUUAGCUAGUUGGUGGGGUAACGGCCCACCAAGGCGACGAUACAUAGCCGACCUGAGAGGGUGAUCGGCCAAACUGGGACGGAGACACCGCCCAGACUCCUACGGGAGGCAGCAGUAGGGAAUCUUCGGCAAUGGGGGCAACCCUGACCGAGCAACGCCGCGUGAGUGAAGAAGGUUUUCGGAUCGUAAAGCUCUGUUGUAAGAGAAGAACGUGUGUGAGAGUGGAAAGUUCACACAGUGACGGUAACUUACCAGAAAGGGACGGCUAACUACGUGCCAGCAGCCGCCGUAA